AACGAACGCUGGCGGCAUGCCUAACACAUGCAAGUCGAACGAGACCUUCGGGUCUAGUGGCGCACGGGUGCGUAACGCGUUGGAACCUGCCUUUAGGUUCGGAAUAACUCAGAGAAAUUUGAGCUAAUACCGGAUGAUGUCUUCGGACCAAAGAUUUAUCGCCUUUAGAUGGGCCCGCGUUGGAUUAGCUAGUUGGUGGGGUAAAGGCCUACCAAGGCGACGAUCCAUAGCUGGUCUGAGAGGAUGAUCAGCCACACUGGGACUGAGACACGGCCCAGACUCCUACGGGAGGCAGCAGUGGGGAAUAUUGGACAAUGGGCGAAAGACUGAUCCAGCAAUGCCGCGUGAGUGAUGAAGGACUUAGGGUUGUAAAGCUCUUUUACCCGAGAUGAUAAUGACAGUAUCGGGAGAAUAAGCGCCGGCUAACUCCGUG
rnacentral:rRNA from 1 species